rnacentral:rRNA from 1 species
GAUGAACGCUGGCGGCGUGCCUAAUACAUGCAAGUCGAGCGAACGGACGAGAAGCUUGCUUCUCUGAUGUUAGCGGCGGACGGGUGAGUAACACGUGGAUAACCUACCUAUAAGACUGGGAUAACUUCGGGAAACCGUAGCUAAUACCGGAUAAUAUUUUGAACCGCAUGGUUCAAAAGUGAAAGACGGUCUUGCUGUCACUUAUAGAUGGAUCCGCGCUGCAUUAGCUAGUUGGUAAGUUAACGGCUUACCAAGGCAACGAUGCAUAGCCGACCUGAGAGGGUGAUCGGCCACACUGGAACUGAGCCACGGUCCAGACUCCUACGGGAGGCAGCAGUAGGGAAUCUGCCGCAAUGGGCGAAAGCCUGACGGAGCAACGCCGCGUGAGUGAUGAAGGUCUUCGGAUCGUAAAACUCUGUUAUUAGGGAAGAACAUAUGUGUAAGUAACUGUGGACAUCUUGACGGUACCUAAUCAGAAAGCCACGGCUAACUACGUG